rnacentral:lncRNA from 1 species
CCAAGCUGUCUCAAGCCCUCUGUUCUAGAGGCUAUUCUUCUUCUUUCAAUGAUUAUUCCCUUUUCUUUAAGAAAUCUACUUCUUCUAUUAUAUUGUUGGCUGUGUAUGUUGAUGAUAUUAUACUGACUGGCAAUGAUUUGGAGGAGAUUACUGCUUUAAAAAGGUUUCUGGACCUUGAAUUUAAGAUUAUUCCCUCUUCUUUAAGAAAUCUUCUUCUUCUAUUGUUUUGUUGGCUAUGUAUGUUGAUGAUAUUAUACUGACUGGCAAUGAUUUGGAGGAGAUCACUGCUUUAAAAAGGUUUCUGGACCUUGAAUUUAAGAUCAAGGACUUGGGAGUCCUUAAUUAUUUUCUUGGCAUUGAAGUCACUUAUCAUUUUGAUGGCCUGCUUCUUCAUCAGAAGAAGUUUAUUACUGAUCUUCUCAAAGCCUAUCACUGUGAGGAGGUUACCCCUGUUACCUGUCCUCUUGACCUUU